AGAUUCUCUAUUUUCUUGCGACGUUGGCCUCCACCACGUGGGGCGUUCCGAUUGAUAAAAGCCAAGUGGAAAUUGAUAACAUGCUUAUCAAGCCUGAUCACCGUUAUGCGGAAAAUGCUCCGACAUCUGUCUAAGACUCGAUAUUCCAACCUUCCGAAACGACUCAACAGACCAAUCAAAUAGUUUUCAAACCGAACGGUACCGGUGACACGUCCAAACUCAGUGCGAGACAGAGGAAGGGUCGACAAACUUAUCCUUUCAUGAUAUAUGGUGGAUGUUCCCCGCCAAACUAUUCUACCCAAAACUAUUACUACCAGCCACAAGUCAAUCCUUGGCAGUACCACCCGGCUGAUAUCCCACGUUCUCUUUUGAUUUGGACUUACCUUUACGGGAUACCCCAGGAGAAGAAGAGGGAAUGCGAAAUGAACGGUGGGAAAUUUCAAAAUGGUCACUGUUAUUCUUAACGACGUCCAUGGAUGACGCUGUUUCAAGACUUUCUGGAUAAACGAAGCUAAACUUUCACGUAAUACUCGUGACGAUAAGAUUAAGCAAUCCUAUCGUCAUAAGAUUCAUAUUUUGCAGAGGAAGCAAUAUGUUCGUUAUUCUAACAAGGGACAUUCACGAGGUGUCGCUCGUGUCCAGGACACCUACGAUUUUUAGACCCUACUUGUACCCCAAAUGAAAGAUCCAUUCAUAUUUCGUUGUAAAACUCAUAUUUGGCGCCGUGGCGUGGCCCCACAUUCGCCAAAUUUGAAUGUUUUUAUUUUUAAAACCGCCAUAAGUUUUCCAGAUUAAAAACAAUAAUAUCAUGACCAAGAGUUCAACCUUUGAAUCCAAUGAAAUUGAAAAAAAAAAUUGAGUGCUCGAAUUUUUGUCAAAAUUGUGUGAUUUCCAAAGACAUGGAGAUUUGUCGAAAAAAUCGUAAAAAUAUCUCAAGAAUUAAAAUCUUAAAUUUUUAUUUGUUUCUUAAAAUUUUCACCUUUGUGAUCACUUCAAACCCAAAAUUUUGAAAAUCCUACGGAAACUGCAAAAGUUAUGGAGGCUUGAAAAUGAGCGAACACGCAGGUUUUUAAGUUUGGAGCCACGCCACGGCGCCAAAUAUGAGUUUUACACGAAAUAUGAAUGGAUCCUUCAUUGAAGGUCAUAGUGGAUUCUAAAAAACAAAGUAGGUACACUGGACACGAACGACACCUCGUGAGUGUCCCUUGUAAGAUAGAAAUGGGGUACCCUAAUUUAAAGUUUGGAAGUAAUUUGUUGAUUUAUUUCACGACAAUCCUUUUGAAGAAGUAGAUAAAAAAAAGCUGCUAAUAAAUUUAUAUCUAUCUGUGAAGAAAUUGAUUAUGUUCCGUCUGUCUUACAAUUUUAUGAUGACUGUGUAAUACAUCGUCAUGUACAUACAUACGUAUCUCUGAGGGACAGAUUUUAUACCCGCCAAAAUCACGUGUCCACUGGGUUAACAUUGGACGCGGGAUGAAGUUCAUAUCCGAUCCAUUUUACGGAAUGGAAAGAUCGCAAAUCCGGCGUUCAUGUAUACCUUUUAGUCAAUAAUAAAUGCAAAAUUAUCAAGUUCUCAUGUGUGGUUAUAUUUUCACAUAUUUAAUUCUUUAUCUCGAAAACUGACAAAUAACCAUCUCCAAAUUUUUAGUAUAUUGUAUCGGUAUAGUUGCUCUUCAAAAUAAAAAUUACACGAGCCAAAACCUACGGUGAGAUUUAAGCCUAGUAAGCGAAAUAUUUGUAAAAAACGUAAAAAAUAAUGAUUUUUGUGACACCGGAUUUUUUUGUGAAGCGGGUUUGAAUGAUGAUAGAUCGGUAUGAGGUUUAUUAGUAACCCUAUGUAAGUACCAUCAUUUCUCAAAUUGGUAGCAUUAUGAAAUCUGUAGCCGUUUUUGAAAUAAUGCCCCUGAAAAUGUCAAAAAUUGAUAUGGUAAAAUUUUCAGUUUCUGGUCGACAAAAGUUGUUUAAGGUCCGUUUUAGCAAGUCUACCUUAGUGAUUUAUUCUUAUAAUAUCUUAUACUAUCACAAUAAUCUAAAUUAAGCAAUAAAACGUCUUGGCCCAA